CUGACAUCUGAUUUUCUUCCUGAUUUUCAUGUUCUGGGCUCUGGCCUCUGGACUCCCACCAGGGGACUGACUAACUGGCCCAGCACUGAUUUAUCAAUAAUGGGUUAAUGUGUCACUGCUGGGCAAUGCAAGUGCUGGUUCUUAACCCUAAGGCCCCCAGCUGGGGGACAGUGACAGGUUACAAAUAUGCUGAGAUAUAGUGCUCUCAGGCCAUAAGUGACCAGGUGGAGCCCGGGGCAGCAGGAGCCCCCAUCCCUGCUGGGAUAGUCACCGUCAGGCCUCAAACAGCCUCACAAGUUUAGCCCUACAAGUAUCCAACUGUUAUCAUGGACUGGGAUGGGGAAAGUUGGGAAGCGCUCCAUUAACCCCAAAGCAUGAGCAGUUUUAUGGGCAGUAUGGGCAAAGGUGAGGAAAGGGAGAGUCUGAAGAAACGGGUUCUAGUUCUGGCUGUACCACUUCCUCACAUAUUCUGGGGGCAAAAAUCACAGGAGAAAAAAUAAGAGGUAUCAUUUAUUGUGCCUCAUUUAAACAGUUCUAUAAGUAGGUGCUGUUAUCAACUCCAUUACACAGAUGAGAAAACUGAGUCAGGGAAAUUAAGGGACUUAGCCAAGAUCCCACAGAUAGGAAGCAGAGGUGCUGGUAUUUGAACUCAAGUCUGUCUGUCUUUGCAUUCUGUGCUCUUAACUACUCGGCCACAUGGACGUGUUUGGGGACUCUAGAGAGACAAAGAUUUGCGGCCCUUCAGCCCCACUCCCUUGGUAUCAGGGCUGCUGAUUCUCCCUCCACCCCAGACAGCCAGAAUUUAGGGAGACCUUCAGCAGGAGGCGGUGGGGGCCAGAGGACUCUGCAGCAGGGAGGGAUAUCCCCAACGCCUGCCUUCAUGGGUGUGAGGUUAUCAGCAGGUCUGGGGAGGUAUGUUGAGCUCUGUCUUAGAGAAACCAUGAUCCUCCAGGAGUGGAGCCCCCAGCCCUCAGAAAGGAAAAUGUGGUGAGAUAUCGCUGGUUGCUGUGAUACCCUGGAACUCACAGCAAGAAAGCUGGGAUAAGGCGGCUUGUUCUCCAUGCUAAUUCUCCUUUAAAUAACAACUCCUGUUUACAGAUCCAGUUUCUCUGUCAAGCGCUUUAUUCACAGUGCCUCACUGAAUCUUCACAACAGCCCUAUCUUGAGUAGCUCCUAUUAUUUUCAUCUCUACUCUACCAGAUGAAGAAUCAAAAACUCUGAGAGCUCAUGCAACUUGUCCAAGGCCACACAGUUGGCUCUGGUAACCACCAUUCUACUUUCUGUUUGGAUACCUCAUGUACCUAAAUGAAAGAAGAUUCUAAAGGGAUUUGCUUCAAAUUCACAGCAAGUACCAAAAAUGCAUGGUUUGCCAAAUAGGUUGAGUUUAGCUAUUUUGCUGUAUGGAAGCUGAAGUGCCUUGCUAAAAGAGUAAAGGGCUUCUCCAAUAAAAUAAGAUGAAUAUUUUUCAUUUAUGUAACAUUUUUUACUUUUCAAAGCUUUCUUGGCCAUUUCUUAUUUGAUCUAUACAUUUUUUCUAUGACAAGAAGCAGGACAGGGAAUAUUCUCUUACCUUUUUUCAGAUGAGGAUCCUGAGGCUCAGAAAGAUGAAGUGAAUGUUCUUACUGUCAGUGGUGAGCCACUCCUCUCAAUUUCCAGCCUUGUGUUCUUUGGACUGUGAUCUACUGUCUCUUUUGCAAACAAACAUACCAACUCAGAGAACCUGAAUCUAAGAGGACCUAAAACCACCACCAACACCAACACUCAGCAGGUGGCAGGUAACAGUCCUAGACUUUUAUUGCCUUCCCACUGUGUGUUAACCCUUGUAAUUCUCCAAGGAGCCCAACGAGU